ACCACUUCUUUCACAAUCUUGAUGAUAAGAUUGUUAAGGCCAAGAUUAGAGCAUAAGCGUCUAGCUAUAUCUAUGGCAUGAGUGGUCUUAUAAUAAUUUCUACCGGCCUCAAGAUGCUUCUUAAGAACCUUUAUGGCCAUGCUUAUCUCCUUCCUUUUGACUUCAUUUGAAACACCAGUGUGAAUUUCUUUCCCUUUGUCUUGAUCAGCAACAACAACAUGAAACUCCUUUAGAGUCGAAAACCUUUUUUCUUGAGUUCCUUGGCAUGAUUUUUUUGUGGUCCGAAUCAAGCCUAGGGCAUUAGCCAUCUGUUCCACAUGGUCCUAAGAUCAAGUAUGAGCUUGGAGUCUUUCUUGUCGUUCAUUACCUCGAAUUGGUGGGAACGAGCUACCAUAUUAUUAUUGUCAUUGGAUAAGGGUGAGUUUGCAAUAUUAGUGCCAAAGCGAGCUCCACUAGUUAGUAGUAGAGGGUUGAAAGGGUCUUUCAUCUAUGAAAUGGGACUCCAAAACCAAGCCAGAUUCGGAGCAGAUUGUGUCUCCAGCAUUGUGAUCAUGCAUGGUUAAAGUGUAAGUUUUGCAGUCACUACAAUACUCUUCAUCUCCCAUGGUGUGUUUAAUUUGGAGAUGAAUGAAUGAAAUGGUUUUUCUUAUGGCCAUUAAAUGAAAAAGCUUUUAGUCAAUGGGAAUUUAUGGUGAGGAUUGAGAAUGUGGCUUGUUUGUGAAUCUCAUUAAUUAAGAGUACAACUUGGGAAUUCUA